UUUUUAGGCAAUAUUUUUAACUCCUAGGCACACAUUUUUUUUUUAAUCCUAUUUAAUUUCUUUAAAACUUCUUAGUAAAUCAUUUAGCUUAUUUUCAGUACCAGAUGUUCAAGAUAACUAGUUCAGCACCAUUUCGUACAUUAUCCUAUUAGCACAUCUUUAAGAACCUCCUCAGAGCAAAACAUUUUUCUCUGUUUUUUAGUGCAUUUUUUCCUCCUUUCUUACUGAAUUUUCCAAAUCAAACCACUUCAGGAAAAGGUCCACGUCUUCACAUUCUCACACUCCACGUUCUUUUGUAGGAUAAUAACAGCUGCUAAGUAUUGAGCUCUGGGUUAAUUGUUCCCAUUUUACUGACGUCAUAACUGAGGCACAGAGAUUUCUCUAUGGCAGAGUGGGAUGAGACCUAGGCUUUUUUAUUCCAGAUCCAGUACUUAACUUUUAUGUAUUUCUUUAAUAAAUUUCAUGUUUAUGCGUUGCCAAGCAGGGAAUUCUAGAUCGCAAUGAAAUGGAUUUAUAGCCUACAAUUCUGUCGCAGGAGUCAAGGCAGAAAGCCUCAGACCUCAUCGAACGUGGGAGGCAACCAGAAACUGGCUCAGGCCUGUCUCCCUGAAGACAGGGAAGUGAUGAGAAUGUUCUGGCCUCACUCCUCACCGGCCUCCAUGCUCUCCUGUUCCAGGAAGACCAGAGGAGGACCCGCCUGACUCAGGACCGUCUGCAGUCCUCACCCGGAGUGCUGGGAUACCUGCACAGUCACCAGGGCACCAAGGAUAGAGCACUUCGCUGGCAACCUUCCUGAUCUGCAGUCACACAUCUCUCCUAAUUGGCAAUGACACUUCCUUUAUUCUCUUUCUUGUCUGUGAAGUAAAGUUGUGUGAUCCGUCUUCACAGAAAUUACUGCCCGUUCUCCUUAGCUCACUACCUUGUCUCAGGUUAUCUAUUAGUUUCUACUAUGCUCCCAGGAAUAAGAAGAAAAUUUAGGAGUUGUACAUUGCUGUGUAUUAAACCACCCUCAAACCUGGUGGCUCAAACCAACCACCAUUUACUAGAUAUUACUGUUUCCAGCCUGCGCGUUGGCUGGGCACUCCUCUGCUGGUUUUGCCUGGGCAUUGGGCUGCAGGUGCGCUGGACUGGAAAGGACAAGGUGGCCUCAGGCACUGGCUGUCAGUAGGACCGGACACUUGGUUCUCCAGCAGCCUUGUCCCCAGGAAGCUGGACUGACUGCCCACACAUCUGUCUCAGGGCAGCCUUUCCUGAGAAGCAAGGUAGGAGCUGAAGGUCUGGCGAGGAAGUCACAGAACUUCACUUCUGCCACAUUCUUUUGGUCAAAGCAAAUAAGAACAGCCAAGUUUCAAGGGGUAGGGGUAGAUUGCUCUGAUUAGGCAUUGCAAAAAGUGUGUGCCCAUGUUCUGCAAUCUACAACAAUGCAAAAGACUCAGUACCUUCCACUGAAUAGAUAGGUUCAUUGCAACCCAAACAAGCCAUGACUUCACCCUUUGUUCAGAUAAGAAUGCCAGUUGACUUAACAUCUUCUGUUCUAGUCACUGUGAUCAAAGCUCUCUAACACUAAUAGGUUUCAAAGAUAAGAAAUGAAGGAAACUACUAUUAGUAAAAGUUGUCAUAGUCCAGGAAAUAUUUGCAAGAGGAAGUAGAGGUACCAAGUCUUAUUUCUAUCAGCAAAGUGACCUGACAAGUGUGGUUUCCAAACCUCAGAGAUAUGUCAAUUUCAUUCCAAGCCUCUCUAGUUAAUAAUAGAAGGAAAAAAAAAAAAAAACAGUCAAGGAUUUUGUUACUUGAAGGGAAUUUGCGAAUUAACUCUUAAGUAACACUGGUUGGCUAACAUUCACUGACAGGAGUUUGUAUUUUUAACUCCUUGCUUGCAUAAAUGGAGAAAGUGAAAUGAGAUAAUUAAUAUGCUUCGUAGGAUGCCUGGAUUCCCUUUGCCCCAAAAAGACAGAUAGUUGCAACUAUUAUUUUAUUCAAGGCUUCAAGAAUUUACAUGGUUUAAAGAUAAAGAGACAUUCUCUUUUUAAAUAUAUUUUUUAUGGUCAAAGUAGGUGCUUGAUAAACUUACUUUAAAAACUUUCCAAGUAAAAUUAGCAUCGCCAUAGUCUAUGGGGUAAAAAUUUGGGACCUCCACUUUGUGUUUGUUUAGGUGUUGUUCAGAUGUUAUUGCUGUGUAACAACUAACCACAAAAAUCCCAGUGGCAUUGAACAAAAGCCUGUUUUUGCUUAUGGAUCUGUGAAGUGGCUGGGCAGUUCUGCCUCAUGCUGCAGGUCUAUAGACAGGUCAGGAGAGCUCUGUUCAGUGCAUGUUUAUUCUGAGACCUACAUUAAAGGGGCAGUAGCUACACUAGGUGAGUUCUCACGGUGAAGGCAUAGGUACAAGAGAGUAUGCAAAAAUAUACAAGUUUCUUAAGAUCUGGAGUCAGAACCUACAAACUGUCACUUCUGCCCAAGACAAUGGAAUAGCAAGGUUCAUCUUCACUAGGAGAAACUGCUGAGUCAUAGGUCAACCUCCAAGUUAUAAAAAAGAAAAAGAAUUGCACCAAUAAUACAGUCUACCGCAAAGUGUUUAAACAAUCACUCCCUAAUCCCACCACCAUGAACAGGCAUAUGUCUGGGUGAGGCUUCUCAUACUUUCUCAACAGGACAUAAAUUCUUUGGCUGGCUGAUUGUUGAAGUUUGUGAUUCUAUCCACAAAUAAUAACAUGGGAUGUCUGUCUGUUCAUUAUCUAGAAGAGUAUAUCUUUGAAUUCUGUGCUGCCUCAAGGUUAUAAAAUCUCAGUUUAGAAGACCGUAUUUGUAGAGGAUUUCCUAGUGGGUUUAUCCUCCUCAAAAUGAUCUAAAUUUCAUACCUGGAUCAAGUCAGGUUGCAGAAAAGUCUCUAACAUGUUGACCUCUUGUAAAAUUGCUUUUAUGUAACUAAGCUUGGGUGUUAAACUGCCUGCCUACAUUGAAGAAAGUUAUAAGGAAAUAGUUUAUGAACUGAACGAUUAAGGUUAACAUGGAUAACUGCUAUACACAUUUCUCUUUCUUUUUUUCUUUUCUUGGAGAACCAUAGAAGAAUUUUCUCUUGGCUCACAGAAACAUUUUUCUGGGCUCCUCCUGAGAAAUUGGCUUAUUUUUAUCUGAUAGUUACUGUGAUAUAACUGAGCAUCUUCCCAUUCUUUUAUUGGCAAAAAGAAAGCUCUAAUGGAGAUUCGUGAGCCAUGUCUGCUUUAUGUAUAGCAUAGCCAUUGUGUGUCAGGCUUCCAGUGAGUUAGUACAUGUAAGUCCUUAGAAAUUCUUGGAACAUAGUUCUAUAUAUAUGUUUGUCAUUAUUAUUAUUAUUAUUAUUAUUAUUGAUAAUAGUGGAGUAAGUUGAUUUUAAAUAAAAUUCAAUAAAAUAAGAUAACAGUAUUCUAACAUCUGAUCUAUUUCAUUUUGGAAUAAAAAGUGCUGAAUUCAUCUGUUGAUUUUUAAGACUUUUGUAAUCAAAUUACCUAAUUGAUAAGCAAGCCAAAUAUUUUAUUUUCCUUCAGCUUAACUAAUAUUUUACUCAUUAAAUUUAAGCUUGUAUUGUUUGGACCAAAAUAAAUUUCCAUGUCUUGCCAAAAACAAUGAGAGUGAAAUAGCAGCGAAGACUGAGGUAAAUAUUAUUAAAGGAUAGGCAAGGUUUUGAAACUGCCUUGUGGUUUGGUGGAAUGGGGGGGGGGGGGGGGGUUGGAGAUGGUAAGAAAUCCAAUAGGGAACUCUCUUCCUUACCCUGGUUAGUUUGGGACCUAAGCAAAAAUUUCACUUUCCUCCCUCCGUCAAUGUCUAGGAGAAGGAAGGAGAUCGUGGAAGUGAGGGGGCAAAGUCAGUUAGGACUGAUAAUCUCACUAACGAAGGUGUGUUCCCACAGGGUCUCCUGCAGGGGGCAGACCAGUGCGCCCACGUUGACCCCAUGGAGCUGGUGCCUUGACGGUGCCCACAGCCCAAUGACACAGAGAAGAAAAACGGCUGUUUUGCCCACAACCAACAGGCAAAUCCAGGAACACAGACAGCCAGUCCCCAGCCUUGAAAGUCACAUCCGGAAGGAAAAAUUCAAAUUAUACUCUGCUAAAUAGAGCAAGAAGUAAGGGAAAAUGUCCCCACCAAUUUGCGGCUAAUUCUGUUAUUCAGAAGAACAGCUUUGGGGAAAGAGAAGAAGCUUAAGAAAAACUUUUAAAAAGAAAAGGACAGUAUAUCCCAUGCAGAAGAUGUGAAAAACUCAUCCUGGAAGGAGACAAUCAGGAUGCAAGUUCAGGUCUUGAGGCUGGGAAGGCCAAGACCAAGGCCGGCAGAUCCGAUAUCCCGUGAGAGCUUCCUACCUACCCUGCUGUCUUCUCCCUGGGUCUUCACUUGACAGGAGGGACAAGGACCACGAAGUGAAAUUCCGUAGCAUGCUGUUCGUCCCUCAGAAACCUCUUCUUAGACUUCCAGGUUUCAAGUUGUUCCAGAGCCAUCUAAGAGAGAAAGGUCAGUAGCCAUGAAACAUGAGUUCUUCUCGUAGCGAUUACGGACAACGGUCUCCGUUGGGAAAAGAUGACAAAAGAAAACAGAACAAGUUGUCAGAUGGCUAUGGACAUGGGGUGUCUGGUCUGUGUUUGGCCCGUGUCCCCUUCCCAGGGGUCCUGCUUAGACAGUACUGCAGCAAGCACACAUUGUGUAUAUUAAACACGCCAAGAGGAAAAGCCAAAACCUGAAGUGCAGUCCACUUCCAGUAAUCUGCGUGCUUAUUAAUAUUUUUUUUCUGGUUUAUCAUAAAAUGUUUCACACCAGAUGGGGAUCUAGCUGACUCCUCUGUUGUUCCCCCUGACCGUUUCUUUGGUGUUUACUACAAUAUCAUAACUUAAUUUUUUAUUAUUAGUCUAAAUUAAAAUAAGAGAGAAGUAAACC